AGGGGGUUAGCUUAGAAGUAGAGCUUUUGUUUAGCAAGCACAAGGCCCUGAGUUCAAUUCUCAGAUUCCCCA
rfam:Ictidomys tridecemlineatus contig027375, whole genome shotgun sequence.